rnacentral:misc_RNA from 1 species
GGAAAAUAAUGAGUUCUAACGCCAUAUUUUCAUCUGUCAAGGAAGACAGAAAGAUGAGACAACUAACCAGUAGACCAACAGUAGCACUUCAAGUUUUCUUGUUAGUACCAGCUAUCAACUUCAAAUUCUGGCUAAAUUAUAUAAUGCCCCCAACUCUUCAGUGGCCAGGCAAUGACCCACCGGCACCAGUAAUUGAAAUGAGGAGCUUUUCUGAAGACCAGUAGGGCUCCCUCUAAAGGUUCUCAUAAGCGGUUGCACCAGCACUUCCCCUUCUGCAACAUAUGUCAUCAAAAUUUUGUUAGUAAAGGUAUCAAGCUAUUUGGA